UGGGGAAUAUUGGACAAUGGGGGGAACCCUGAUCCAGCCAUGCCGCGUGUGUGAAGAAGGCCUUAUGGUUGUAAAGCACUUUAAGCGAGGAGGAGGGUACUGGUAUUAAUACUACCAGGUACUGGACGUUACUCGCAGAAUAAGCACCGGCUAACUCUGUGCCAGCAGCCGCGGUAAUACAGAGGGUGCGAGCGUUAAUCGGAUUUACUGGGCGUAAAGCGUGCGUAGGCGGCUAAUUGAGUCGGAUGUGAAAUCCCCGAGCUUAACUUGGGAAUUGCAUUCGAUACUGGUUAGCUAGAGUGUGGGAGAGGAUGGUAGAAUUCCAGGUGUAGCGGUGAAAUGCGUGGAGAUCUGGAGGAAUACCGAUGGCGAAGGCAGCCAUCUGGCCUAACACUGACGCUGAGGUACGAAAGCAUGGGGAGCAAACAGG
rnacentral:rRNA from 1 species